ensembl:snoRNA U8 U8 small nucleolar RNA
UUUUUAGGUUGGAUAAUUAUUAUCUGUUCCUCUACUCGGAGGUCAGAUAGAACAUGAUGAUUGGAGUUUGUAUCAUUAGUGAUUAAGGUCUCUGCAUAAUUAGGGCUCCUAAUACCCUAAUUGGUCCUAUCUGUU